rnacentral:ncRNA from 2 species
CGCUGGAGAGCGUUGCGGACGGGAACGAUCCCGCCGAGCGCGCGCCGACGGAGGAACCUGCGGUCGCAGAUGCGCCGCGGGGACGCUCUCAGGCACCAGGACAGCG